rnacentral:rRNA from 1 species
AUGACCACGCAGCAGAGUCACCACCCAGCAGCAGCAUUCCACCAACUCCCGCUCCACUCGCCGGUCUCCUCCACUGGCUCUACCGACUCCACGCCAUGGCACCACAGUGCUCCGACCACGCCGCCCCUGCUCCCGUUCGACACCAACGAUGCCGACGAGAUGCUCCUGCUCCACAUGCUCUCACAGCACCAGCAACACACGCACAAGGCCGUGGCGGCGCCGGUGAAGCGAGAGGCCCCCGACCGACAGAAAGCAGCUCAAGCAGCCAGCGCCGGGCGCGCGUUCCGCGGGGUGCGCAAGCGGCCGUGGGGCAAGUACGCGGCGGAGAUCCGUGACUCGACGCGGAACGGCGUGCGGGUGUGGCUGGGCACCUUCGACAGCCCGGAAGAUGCGGCACUAGCGUACGACCAAGCUGCCUUCGCCAUCCGCGGCGGCGCCGCCGUGCUCAACUUCCCCGAAGACCAGGUCCGGCGCUCCCUCGAGGGCGCCGCUGACGACGUGUGCGGCCGUGCCCAUGGCGUGUCGCCCGUGCUGGCUCUCAAGCGGCGGCACUCCAUGCGGAGCCGGAAGGCCACGGCGGCGGGCAGGAAAGUGAAGGCCGCCACUCGGGGGAUGCAGCCAGAUGGCAUGGUGAUGGAGCUUGAGGACCUUGGUACAGAGUACCUGGAGCAGCUGCUCGGCGCCUCCGAGGACACCACCUCCAUUAAUUCAUGGUGCUGGAGCCACCACUCCAUGACGACUUGA